rnacentral:lncRNA from 1 species
UUUACGUGUAUGAAUUCGAGUAACGCUGAAUUGAUCUGUGUCUGCACAGGUACGUCGGUGACACCUCUUCCCAGGUAACACAGUACAGCACCACGUGAAUCCAACACAGAGACAACACCGGACCUGGCUGCGAUACUUGUCCCUGUGUUCCUCGUCCUGGUUGUUGUCCUCGCUGUGGUGGUGUUCCUAAUAUUUUUUUACAAACGAAAGCGGAAAAGGGGAGAAAGCAUAUGAAUUAUCGAUGCAGUGACAGGGAUUCUUCCAUGCUUGAGAGCAACUGCCAGGUACAGAGCAGGUGAAGAUGAACCUUUCAUGGCAGAGGAAGGUGGCGCCAGUAAGUAUGGGAUACAUAUAAUGGUGUAUGGGUUGAUGAAUGAAUGUUGUCACAGGAAUAAAUACGAAGUGGAUGUCAAUUGUUUUAAUGUGUCCGUAUGCCGUAUAAACUUGUCAUUGUAUCAUGACGAAUAUGGGAUUGUAUAAUGUUGGCCAAGUGUAUUGAUAAUUAACAUGUUCACUGGUAAUGCAAUUACAUUACCGUUUCAGUGGAAUAUGUGCAGAGCAUAUGUUUCAUGACAUCUGACUGUUAGCCGAAUAUAUUGAAGA